UUCAAUGUAUUUAGUGAGAACUKAGGGUAGUGAUAGUUGGUUCUUGAUACCCAAAGAAUUUGGCGGUGUUUUAGUCUUUUCAGGGGAAUCUGUCUCGUAAUUGAUGAUACACCAAUGGAUGUACUUAAWUGUGUGUCAUCAUCGCCUGUACCGCKCUSGUUUAUGAKAUKAUAUAGAAAGGAACAUWCUUGAUUUUAUAUUAAAUAUUAUGUCAGGUCAAGGUGCAGCUUAUGAUUAAGUGUAUGAUGGAUUACAAUAAUUGUAAUUAUAAUGAAUAAUUAUUUUAGAGUUAAUUUAAAGGUGGACUUGAUUGUGAAAUUGAAUUUAAAUUGGUGGGUGAAUUGAGCUCUAAAAAGUGCACAUAUCGCCC
rnacentral:rRNA from 1 species